UCAACGUGGACAUCCGGUGAGGUUGCUCUCCGCAUGGCUCUGUCCUUGUGGCGUAUAGGGAGCGUAGUAUUUACAGUGCUGUGACGUACAGUCCCCGUUCCACGACGUUGGAGAGCAAGCUUUGUCCCCGGCCUUCGGGCUGGUGAGGAUGGCGUUCUGUAUAUUCCUACAUCUUCCCAGAGCCCUUUGGGCCAUGACUGGGGGGCUAAACCAUGCGGUGUACAUUA